GGAUUAUGGCUCAGCGGUAGAGCACUCACCUCGCACAUGCAAGGUCCUGGGUUCAAUCCUCAGCACCA
rnacentral:tRNA from 1 species